AUAGAUGAAAUGUCUAUAUUGAACUUACUGAACUCAAGAUGGAUUACUGUGAGAGAAUCAAGUCAUGGGUCACCUCCUAUAGCUGAUGGUAUUACCAUAUUAAGCCAAAUUUCUCCGUGGAAACAACAGGACAAACUGUCAUAACAGACUGAUGAUGCCUUACAAUCAGGAAAGAACAUGCUUGAAAUAUUACUCCGAAAAGCAAACGCACCCGCUUCUUUGGACCUGUGUUCAGAUGUUUGAUCAAAGCACUCUGAUUUUUACACUGAGCAUUCUGGGACCAUGUACCACAUUGCAGCUAUCAGGCUGAGAAAUACAAAAGAAAACCAGCCGGUUUGACCUGGAUGUUCCACACCUGAGGCUCUUGCGAAGUCUGACCUCCCACAUCAACACCUUUGUGUUGCAGAAAGAAAAACAUAUUGAAUUCACGGACAUGCUUCAACGACUAGACAUUUUUAGUCAUUUAGUCACUUAGACAUUUUUUCCAGUUCAGAACAGAAAAUGUGCACUUAGAUUUAGUAUGAGAGAAUUGUACUCCUUUGUUCAACCUCUUCUGUCUAUCAUUCCCAUAAGCCUCUAAUGAGAACUUGGUAAACAUCGACAGGUAACCUGUAAUACGACCACAUUUUUUGUCACUCUUUAAGCUGACACACCCUGUUACUUUUGCAGUUGCAAUUCACCUCUGCUUUUCAGUAUUUCUGACGCAAAAAGAAAAUCAGCAACAACUGACAAACCCUUCAGAACCCGCUCAGUGAAUGUGGAAAGUAAUUUGCUUUUCAUUUUACAUACUUUUUUGUUGCCCACCUUAAAGGUUCAGUGGGUUAUUUUGUCACGAGUCUCAUUUGUAUUAAGAGUAUCUGAAAAAGCAUGACUCGGGUUAAGAGUUUCAUCAAAGUACAAAAACAACAAGCGUGAAGGGCUUACACGGCUAGUAUUUCUAACUAAAUUAUAUAUAACCUUUGUGUAAUAUUUUUGGUUCCCAAAAUGUGAAAAAAAAACAUAUUUUACACACACACA